rnacentral:rRNA from 1 species
UACAGAGGUCUCAAGCGUUGUUCGGAUUCAUUGGGCGUAAAGGGUGCGUAGGCGGCGCGGUGAAGUCGGAGUGAAAUCUCGGGGCUUAACUCCGAAAACUGCAUUCGAUACUGCCGUGCUUGAGGACUGGAGAGGAGACUGGAAUUUACGGUGUAGCGGUGAAAUGCGUAGAUAUCGUAAGGAAGACCAGUGGCGAAGGCGGGUCUCUGGACAGUUCCUGACGCUGAGGCACGAAGGCCAGGGGAGCAAACGGG